rnacentral:rRNA from 1 species
GAUGAACGCUGGCGGCGUGCCUAAUACAUGCAAGUCGAGCGAAUGGAUUAAGAGCUUGCUCUUAUGAAGUUAGUGGCGGACGGGUGAGUAACACGUGGGUAACCUGCCCAUAAGACUGGGAUAACUCCGGGAAACCGGGGCUAAUACCGGAUAACAUUUUGAACCGCAUGGUUCGAAAUUGAAAGGCGGCUUCGGCUGUCACUUAUGGAUGGACCCGCGUCGCAUUAGCUAGUUGGUGAGGUAACGGCUCACCAAGGCAACGAUGCGUAGCCGACCUGAGAGGGUGAUCGGCCACACUGGGACUGAGACACGGCCCAGACUCCUACGGGAGGCAGCAGUAGGGAAUCUUCCGCAAUGGACGAAAGUCUGACGGAGCAACGCCGCGUGAGUGAUGAAGGCUUUCGGGUCGUAAAACUCUGUUGUUAGGGAAGAACAAGUGCUAGUUGAAUAAGCUGGCACCUUGACGGUACCUAACCAGAAAGCCACGGCUAACUACAUGCCAGCCGCCGCGGUAA